rnacentral:lncRNA from 1 species
AAUUUGAUGCUAGUAGGAAAGUUGAUGUUGGUUUUUGUGUUCUUUGCUGCUAGCUGAAUUGGGAAAGGGUUUUAGCAGCUAAAAAGAGAAGUUUUGUUGUAUCCUAACUCAGUUGGAGCUGAGUUAGUGAUUGGAUAAGGUAAACUGUAAUAUACCGAACUUCUAAUUCAUGAAGUUACGAUAUAUGUUAGCUUAGAAA